rnacentral:misc_RNA from 1 species
GGGCAAUCAUGAUUCAAUCUCUGUAAACUCAUUUUCUCAACGAAUUAAAGUACAGGCUACAAAAAUUUGAUCAGUGUUCAACAAGACCAUUUGAGAACAUCAAGUUAUAGAAUAAAUAGAAUCUUUGUUCCACUGGAGAAAGUCCAUCGAGUCUAAAUAUCCACUAUAUUACAGUAUUGAUCACUCAUUGAACCAACAAAUAAUUUUACGUUUGUCACCUAUAAACUGCACAGGAUAUAGAUUCACAUGAUGGGAAGAUCAAAAAGAGCACAAAAAAAUAUGCAAGAUUUGCAUAACUUCACCUCCUUAUUGAGAGGAUUUGGAAGCCUUGAGAUUUCUCUUUUUUAGCAGUUGAUUCCACACUGCUCA